AUUGAACGCUGGCGGCAUGCUUUACACAUGCAAGUCGAACGGUAACAGGCCGCAAGGUGCUGACGAGUGGCGAACGGGUGAGUAAUGCAUCGGAACGUGCCCAGUCGUGGGGGAUAACGCAGCGAAAGCUGCGCUAAUACCGCAUACGAUCUAUGGAUGAAAGCGGGGGACCGUAAGGCCUCGCGCGAUUGGAGCGGCCGAUGUCAGAUUAGGUAGUUGGUGGGGUAAAGGCUCACCAAGCCAACGAUCUGUAGCUGGUCUGAGAGGACGACCAGCCACACUGGGACUGAGACACGGCCCAGACUCCUACGGGAGGCAGCAGUGGGGAAUUUUGGACAAUGGGCGCAAGCCUGAUCCAGCAAUGCCGCGUGCAGGAAGAAGGCCUUCGGGUUGUAAACGGCUUUUGUACGGAACGAAAAGGCUCUGGAUAAUACCUGGGGCUCAUGACGGUACCGUAAGAAUAAGCACCGGCUAACUACGUGCCAGCAGCCGCCGUAAAAC
rnacentral:rRNA from 1 species